GCAUUUUGUAUCCAUGUUCUCUCUUUGUUUUAGGAGACUAGUAUAAGUCCAUUGAUUGGCAUCUGGUAUCCAUGUUUUCUCUUUGUUUUAGGAGAUUGGUAUAAGUCCAUUGAUUGGCAUCCGAUAUCCAUUUUUGUUUUAGGAGACUAGUAUAAGUCCAUUGAUUGGCAACUGGUAUCCAUGUUCUCUCUUUGUUUUAGGAGACUAGUAUAAGUCCAUUGAUUGGCAUCUG
rnacentral:lncRNA from 1 species